rnacentral:rRNA from 1 species
UGGGGGAUAUUGCACAAUGGGCGAAAGCCUGAUGCAGCGACGCCGCGUGGGGGAUGAAGGCUUUCGGGUUGUAAACCUCUUUCGCUAUCGAACAAGGCCCGCUUAGGGUGGGUUGAGGGUAGGUGGAGAAGAAGCGCCGGCUAACUACGUGCCAGCAGCCGCGGUAAUACGUAGAGCGCGAGCGUUGUCCGGAAUUAUUGGGCGUAAAGGGCUUGUAGGCGGCUUGUUGCGCCUGCUGUGAAAACGCGGGGCUUAACUUCGCGCGUGCAGUGGGUACGGGCAGGCUUGAGUGUGGUAGGGGUGACUGGAAUUCCAGGUGUAGCGGUGGAAUGCGCAGAUAUCUGGAGGAACACCGAUGGCGAAGGCAGGUCACUGGGCCAUUACUGACGCUGAGGAGCGAAAGAAUGGGUAGCGAACAGG